rnacentral:lncRNA from 1 species
AUGAGCCUUGCAAUGAAGAUGAAGGGUUUCCCGUGUCUUAGUAUUCUGUGUAAAAAACAAGAAAAUACCUCCUCUAAGCGAACACCCUAUAAGCACUUACAGUGUACAACUUUACUCCACCGGGAGCUGAGCAUACCUGAGCACCCAGAAUCCUCCUCACACUGCUACUCUGAUACCUGGGGCUCAGCGGCAUGGACUGAAGGGGGUGCUGAAUCUUCUGUUUGUAGGAGAGAAAGACUGCUUGCGUGCAUGCGUGUGUGUGUGUGUGUGUGUGUGUGUGUGUGUGUGUGUGUGUGCGCACGCUGGCGCGAGUUUGUGCUUUGUUUGCAGUUAUUGGGUCAAACCUACAGAGUCUUGUGCAUGUGUAGCGAGUGUUCCACCCAUAAACUGCAGCCCUGACCUCUCCAGUUUUCACGAACUGAAAUAAUACAGAUAAGAAGUUAUAUAUGGUAGAGUUACAUCCAGCAACCUCAGAAGCACAAGAGUUUUCUGUCUCUCAUGUAAUCCUAAAAAGCAAGCACAGGGCGUCAGGCAGGGGGAGAGGCAGGAGUGCCUUCAACCAGGAGGAAAAGAAGGUGAUACCAAAAAUGUUGCAAAGUUAUCUCCCAAAUACUGCAAAAAUAAAUAAAUAAAUAAAUAAAUAAAUAAAUAAAUA